UAUCUCUUCAGCUCUUUGUUUCCUCCUCGUCCCCCCCUCCCUUCCUCUCUCUCUCUCUCUCUCUCUCUCUCUCCCUCUCCCUCCCUCCUCGUGGUCGGGUGAUGUGUGAUCGCCCUCUCGGCAGUCAGGAGGCAGAGGAGCAGGAGAACGAUUGGACAAGAAGAAGAAGAAGAAGAACAACAACAACAACAACAACGUGGUUUUGGACUUCUGACAUGGUUUAUGAAAAGUGUUCAACAUUCAGGAAAUUGAAGGACGGGAAAAGAAAAAAAUAGUUCUGCCAUGGUGCAGAAACAGACUAAAGAACUUCCUGAAGGGAAAUUGCAUCUUACAAAACAUGAUGAAGUCAUCCAAAUCUGUUCAAUCAUGUGACUUCUGGAAAGACAAGCUGGAAAUACACAAGCUGUGCAUAGGCCUAGUGGGGUCAGAAAGCAUGCAAACAAAAUUUUAAUGCAUUUUAAUGCUUUUUUAAUUUAAAUUUAAUAUUA